AGUCGGAAUUGCUAGUAAUCGCGGAUCAGCAUGCCGCGGUGAAUACGUUCCCGGGCCUUGUACACACCGCCCGUCACACCAUGAGAGUCGGGAACACCCGAAGUCCGUAGUCUAACCGCAAGGAGGACGCGGCCGAAGGUGGGCUUGAUAAUUGGGGUGAAGUCGUAACAAGGUAAC
rnacentral:rRNA from 1 species